GGGCGUAAAGCGUGCGCAGGCGGCUUUAUAAGACAGAUGUGAAAUCCCCGGGCUUAACCUGGGAACUGCGUUUGUGACUGUAAAGCUAGAGUGUGGCAGAGGGGGGUGGAAUUCCACGUGUAGCAGUGAAAUGCGUAGAGAUGUGGAGGAACACCGAUGGCGAAGGCAGCCCCCUGGGUUAACACUGACGCUCAUGCACGAAAGCGUGGGGAGCAAACAGGAUUAGAUAUCCUGGUAGUCCACGCCCUAAACGAUGCGAACUAGGUGUUGGAGAAGGAGACUUCUUUAGUACCGUAAAUAACGCGUGAAGUUCGCCGCCUGGGGAGUACGGUCGCAAGAUUAAAACUCAAAGGAAUUGACGGGGACCCGCACAAGCGGUGGAUGAUGUGGAUUAAUUCGAUGCAACGCGAAAAACCUUACCUACCCUUGACAUGCCAGGAACCCUGCAGAGAUGUGGGGGUGCUCGAAAGAGAGCCUGGGCACAGGUGCUGCAUGGCUGUCGUCAGCUCGUGUCGUGAGAUGUUGGGUUAAGUCCCG
rnacentral:rRNA from 1 species